rnacentral:lncRNA from 1 species
CUUUGCUCAGGAUCACCCAAGGCUAAAAUCAAGGUAUUGGUCAGGCUGCUUCCUCAUCUGGAGCUCAAGGUCUUCUUCCUAGCUCAUGUGAUUGUAGCAGAAUUCAGUUCUUUGUGGUUGCAGAGCCAAGGUCUCUGUUUCCUUGUCAGCUACAGCUGGGGGCUGCUAUCAGCCCCUAGAAGUCACCCAUAUCUCUCAUCCAAUGGAUCUUCCAUCUCCAAAGCCAGCAAUGGAGAAUGUCUCUGGGGUCAAAUCCCUCUCACACUUCAGGAAGAACCCAGUCUCAUUUAAGGGCUCACCUGAUUAGGUCAGGCUCAGCCAGGAUAUUCUCCUUAAAGUCAACUGAUUUGGCAGGUGAUUACAUUUGCAAAAUUCCUUCAUGGCAGCACCUAGAUUAGUAUUUGCCUGGAUAAUUGGGAGAAGGUGUGUGUGCCCCAGGAGGUGGGAAUCUUGCAGACCAUCUUAGAAUUCUGCCUACCAUGAAAGCACAGAGCAAGGACUGACUGACAAAUAGAAGCUGCUCCACAGGUUUGUUCUCUUGCAGAGACUUUAUCUGCUUCUCUAUUCAGAGGCCCCAGUGGAGAGGGAUGCGUUCUGGAACCUUAAGGCAGAUGAUUAUACAAUACAUCUUAAUCUGAGAGUGGGGUUUGGAGAGGAGGGGUGCAAGGCCCAUAAAACAAUGACUCUGCAUGUUAAUGUGCUGUACAAAGGUAGAGAGGCUGCAAAUUGUGGUACCCCAUGCUGGUUCCCCAACUUUCUCCUCUUAAUAAGGUCUCUGUGGAGAGGAUUUGCCCCAGAGGGUGCGAGCUGGGCAGGGUCUGGGUUUGUCUUUCUCCACAGCCCUAUGUUCUCAGCAGAAUCUGCUGCUUUUGCAAUCGGAGUUGAUUACUGAAUAAUGAAUUAUCAUUCUUUUUUCAUUUUCUAGCCCUUUUCAGAAGUGUGCUGCUAUUUUUCUACUUAUUGAGUCUCAAAAUGGAAAGCAAAGAAGAUUUUUCUCUUAGAGGCGGGGAAAACACAAUCUUAACAACCCCAUUUUGGUCCUGCAGGUGAGAGUAAUAAUUGUUUUAAUUAAUUCAGUUUCUGAUUUGGAGUAAUUUAAUUUCUUCCUUGACUGGUCAAUAACAUGUCUAAUGAAGCGAGUUUCUUUGGAAAAUACCAGGCAGGGCCACUUGGUCAGAUCAAAGAAGUUCUUGCCUUCCUGGAGGGCUGCUUCCUCCCUGCUGGGCAGGGUGAGGACAUGAAGGGGUAUCUGGAAAUGGGUGUUCCACUCAAGGAGAAUAGAGCCACACCUGUGUCAGAGAACAGAGGCUUGCUCCAAAGCCUUCAUGGGGUUGCGCUGGAGAGCUGCCUCACACAUCACAAGUCGUGGGAGUUCUAUAAUGUGAGAUUUGUUUUCCUGGGAAGGAGGCUGCAUCCAGCCUGCCUCUCACAUCCACUGUGAAAGAGGAGGUCAGUGCACUAAGGGCAGGUGGCCACAGAUGAGAAAGGACAAUGUCACUGUGUUAGUCAGCUGUAUUAGGCUCACUAACAAAGUAGGGAAACAACAGAAAUUUAUCUUCUCACCAUUCUGAAGGCUGGAAGUCCAAGAUCAAGGUGCCAGAAGGGUUGGUGUCUGGUAAGGUCUCUCCUUGGCUUGCAGAGGGCUGCCCUCUUCCCGCGUCCUCAUAGGUCGGCCCUCUGUCUGUGUGUUGUUUAUAUCUUAAACUCCUCUUUUUAUAAGGACCCAGCCAUAUUGGACUGGGGCUCUUCCAUAUGACUUCAUUUUGCCUUAAUCACCUCUUUACAGACUGUGUCUCCGAAUACAGUAACAUUCUGUGGUAGAGGGUUAGGACUUCAGUGUGUGACUUUUUUUUUUUUUUUUUUUUUGAGGCAGGCAGGGGAAACACAAUUCAGCCCCUAGCAGUCACCCCCACAGACACUGGAAUGAGGAAACCUAGAGUUCUUGGACAGCAAAGUAAGCAGAAACAGCUCGGAGGUUACUUCCUUAAAACUGACCUGUGACCCAGCAACAGGCCUUAAGUUACCACAUUCCAAAGUGCCUGUGGGGAGAAACGGCGCAGCUGGGACUCUGUGCUGUGGCAGCCUAAGCGAACCUCUUCACGGGCUAAUGACAAUUGCAGGCAUUGUUGGGCUGUGUCCUAAGGUGAAUCAACAUAAAGAAAAGCCCUGGCUGCUCGUGCACUGAUAACUUCAUCUUUUCGGACAUCUGGGAACUACCGCCACAAUGUCUGGAAAAAAAAUGACUUCAAACUAAUGCAGCAGAGGCAAACCAUGGUUUGGCCAAAAAUGGAACAGAAUUUACAAGGGAAAAGGGAAGUUCCUGGAGUAAUAUGUGUAGGUCAGAUGAGGAUGGAACUGGUGAAUGAGCAGAAGAGAAGGUUGGAAGAGUGCAGUGGUGAUGACAGCCCUCCGCUGCUCCUUCCCCAGAGGAAGGAGCUCCAAGUUUAUUCACCCCUCUUUUACCAUGAGGCAGAGGGAAAACAAUGACAAAUACACAGUAAACUUCGUUAUCAACAAACAGAAGUUGUUACCAAGGCAACAGAACAAGAGCAUCCCUGCAUCCAGCCAUCACAGUGUGAAGUGAGUUUCAGAUGAGGAGAUGCCUUGAGGGGCAAGGAGACCCUUCAGGAAAAAGCUGACCUGAUAAAGGAAUCAAGGAGCUGCCAUCCCAACUGAUGUCUUUUUUCCCUUUCUCAAUAAAGAGAAGAGCUUGCAAGAGCCCUGAAAGACAGACAGGCUGCGUAAACUACUUGGGAUUUCAAAGAGUCCUGUUCAAUUAAUCUGACUACAGAUAGACCAGAACGGUUCUACUUCUGGGUAUAGGCAGAGGUGAGACUUUGGGGUGAACAGAUACAAGGAAAGGGGACAGGGCAUUAAACACCUCUGAACUGCUGUGUACACUAUAAAUAGAAAUGAGAUCCUGUAUUUAUACAAUGCCUUUUGUCCAGAAACCUGCACUCACAGCACAGACAUCACCUGCCUAGGCUUCCAAACACCCCUGUGAGUUGAGGAUCAAGGACAGGGAUUAUUUUACAGAUGGGAAAACUGGCACUUAGAAGCAGUAUAUGUGCCAAGGCCCUUCAGAAGACAGCAGAACAGCCAGAAACAGGAUGCAGGUAAAAAUACCAACAAUAAAUUCUUUUUAUUUGUUCUUAACAUCUUCCCUGCUGGAUCAAGAUCUUUUUCACAAAAUGACAUUAAAGAGUCAAAGUCUUCCUUUCUCCUCAACAACAGGGAGCUUGCAUAAUCUGAAUGUGCUUGUUGCAGCCCCUGACACUAUGGAUGGAGGGGGAUCAAGGGUGGGCUUGUGGAUUACACUUAUCAAAUUGAAACACUCUAGGGAAGCAUUGUAGCUGCUCUUGAAUUCACCUUCUUGGUUUAAUGGAAGUACUUUUAGGAGAUUUAUUUUGAUACCUCUCAACCAUGUGGAUUCUUAAUCUGGG